GUGCUUGCUUUGGCUACACAUAUACUAAAAUUGGAAUGAUACAGAGAACAUUAGCAUGGCCUCUGCACAAGGAUGGCAUGCAAAUUCAUAAAACAUUCCCCCCCUCCUUUUU
rnacentral:snRNA from 1 species